CAGGAACAGAAAACCAAACACUGCAUGUUCUCACUCGUGGUUCCAAGGUCAUUGCAAAAGAAGGUGCAAGGAGGAUGGAAAAUUGAAGGUUCCUAUGCCCCAGGUCUGGAAAGGAUCUGCUUCUGCCCUGUUCCAUUAGCCAGAAUUCAGUCACAUGGUACCCUAACAACAAGCAAAGAAGGCCAUGAGGAAGGACUCUGGAAGAUGUCUGAAUACUAGGAACCCCAAGGGCCAGAAGAAUGCAUUCACCUGUGGUUCAAGCUAAGUAUGGGUAGUGCCAAGAUGGUUUCUGAUUUGGUCUCCACCACGUACAGUGAUUCCAAAGGGGGUCAAGACAUCCUUCCUCCUGCCCCAGCGUCAGCCCUUUGCAAUCUAUCUCAGUCUGCUUUUCAAGUACCCCUAAUAUCUUGGAACUUCCCCAUGGUGAAAAGUCUCCUUCCUCCCCUUCCUGACCCCAUCCCUGUGCCCAGUGCCCAAAGAACAUUUGGAGGGAUGCACUUAAAAUCAAAUUCCUCCACUGUCUAUUUGCUGAGGUAAGGUGUGGUGACAACAGCAAUCCGAGGGGACUACUAGCAGCCUCAGAAUCCAGCCACCAAGCCCUAGCCUUGUCAGGGCCACUCCUGGGCUGGGCACACUGGUAGGUGGGGAGGGAAGGGCAGCAUUGUCAGAAAAGACAGGCCAAGCUGCAGCUGCCCUAAUGGGAGGCUGGAAGGCCUGAAUAGCUUCACAGAGCUGGGCCCUGCUUGCUGAAUGGGGGCUUGGCUCCUCCCUGGCGGUGGUCCGGAAUAGAUGACAUUUUCAUUGCAAGCUAACAAGGGGAGAAAUCCAAUUACCUCACAAAGAGGCUCCUGAAGGGGCCUCACAGCCUGGAGAAACAAGGGGAGGAGAAGAGGGGGAGAGGGAAGGAAGAAGGGGACUGUGU